rnacentral:rRNA from 1 species
AUUGAACGCUGGCGGCAUGCCUAACACAUGCAAGUCGAGCGGAGCGACGGACGGGCGAGUAAUGCCUAGGAAGCUGCCUGGUAGUGGGGGAUAACGUACGGAAACGGGCGCUUAUACCGCAUCCCAUUAGAUGCGCCUAGAUGGGAUUAGCUGGUUGGUGGGGUAAAGGCCUACCAAGGAGACGAUCCGUACCUGGUCUGAGAGGGUGAUGAGUCACACUGGAAUUGAGACACGGUCCAGACUCCUACGGGAGGCAGCAUUGGGGAAUAUUGGACAAUGGGCGAAAGCCUGAUCCAGCCAUGCCGCGUGGGUGAAGAAGGUCUUCGGAUUGUAAAGCACUUUAAGUUGGGAGGCGUUACCUACAGAAUAAGCACCGGCUAACUUCGUGCCAGCAGCCGCGGUAAUAC